rnacentral:rRNA from 1 species
CUGGUGAGUAACACGUGGGUGAUCUGCCCUGCACUUCCGGAUAAGCUUGGGAAACUGGGUCUAAUACCGGAUAGGACCAUCGUUUAGUGUCGGUGGUGGAAAGUUUUUUCGGUGUGGGAUGAGCUCGCGGCCUAUCAGCUUGUUGGUGGGGUAAUGGCCUACCAAGGCGUCGACGGGUAGCCGGCCUGAGAGGGUGUACGGCCACAUUGGGACUGAGAUACGGCCCAG